GCUGGAGCUCACUGGCCGGCGACCAGUCCCCGUGCUGGAGCUCACUGGCCGGUGACCAGUCCCCGUGCUGGAGCUCACUGGCUGGUGACCAAGCCCCGCGACCAGUCCCCGUGCUGGAGCUCACUGGCCGGCGACCAGUCCCCGUGCUGGAGCUCACUGGCCGGCGACCAGUCCCCGUGCUGGAGCUCACUGGCCGGCCCGCAGGCCGCCUGUCACACCACGUCCUCCCCACCUGCCAGGCACCGGCUCACCAGCCUGCCGGGCCUGUGAAUGCCCCAGUCCCAAUCACGAGGCCCUCCCAUGUUUGUGCCCAGCGCUGCUGUAACACAGGACCACAGCAGGUGGCUUCAGACAGCAGAAUUGAUUCCCUCACAGUCCCAGAGUCCAAGGCCCAGGUGCCAGCCCGGCUUCCUCUGAGGGCUCCGGGGCUCCUCCCACCUCCUCCCUCGCUGGGCCUGACCCGUCUCUGCUGCCGGUGGCCUGUUCCCCACCCCACCCCCAUGUGUCUCCUCCACGCCUGCACCCUCCCGUCACCUUGCAGGGACACCAGCCUCGGAUUCAGGGCCCACCCUGCUCCAGGGUGGCCUCAUCUUAAUGUUCCAUCAGCUAAGGCCUUCUCUUUAAAUAGGUCUCAUUCGGGGGUUCUGGGUGGAUGUGAAUUUUGGAAAGACAGCCCAUGACCUUCUCCUAUUGCCCAAAUAGGCCCAGAAACUUCCCCGAGUCCUCCGAGGUGCAGAGCUGUGCUGAGGUCUGUGGGGAGAAGAGAAAGGCUGACCUGCCCCGCUGGACACGUGCUAUCCCCGAGCCCCUUAGUCCAUCGUCAGAACGGCCCCUCGACAUGUGCGUGGCCAAUGAGCACACGGAAAGGCACAACGUCAGCAGGCACCGGGGGCUGCAGAGGAAAGCCACGGCGGCCGGACUGGCUAACGCACCCACGGGCAGCACGCGCGAGCCUCGGAGCGCCCCAAACGCCCACCCGCUGCUGGCGGGAUCAUGAACGGCGACGGGCACUUGGAGCCACCAUGGGUCACCACCUCCCUAUAACCAAAGUCCAGAGCCGCAAGCAGCCCAGUGCGUGAGCCCUCAAGUCAGGGGCGGCCUCUGCGGGGCCUGUGCCUGAAGCGGCUCUUGGCGGAGAGGAGGAGCGGCCGCGCGGCAGGAGAGAGCCCAGGGGGCCAGGGCGCGGGGAGCCGGCCCGGGCAAGCGCACACCCGCCCCUGGAACCCGCACAGCCGGUCACCGCACGCCCAGCAGGGUCAGAGCCGAGGCUGCCUGUGACCGCGUGAGCUGGGCGGAGGGCACAGGAUCUGUCUGGAUUUUCUGUGCAACGUCCUGGGAAUCUAAAACUACGUCAAAGUAAAAAGGUUUUUUGUU